AUAUGUUUCUUUACUCUGUCUGUGAUUAGGUAAUAUUACCUAAUCACAGACAGAGUAAAGAAACAUAU
rnacentral:miRNA from 1 species